rnacentral:rRNA from 1 species
GACGAACGCUGGCGGCGUGCUUAACACAUGCAAGUCGAACGGUAAGGCCCUGCUUUUGUGGUGUGCUCGAGUCGCAAACGUGUGUGUCACACGAGAGUAACCUGCCCUUGACUUUGGUAUAACUUCAAGAAACUGGCUCUAAUACCGGAUUGCAGCUCCUCCUACGUGGUGGGGGUUGGAAAUUUUCGGCGGUUGGGGAUGGACUCGCGGCUUAUCAGCUUGGUGGUGGGGUAGUGGCUUACCAAGGCUGUGACGGGUAGCCGGCCUGAGAGGGUGACCGGCCACAUUGGGACUGAGAUACGGCCCAGACUCCUACGGGAGGCAGCAGUGGGGAAUAUUGCACAAUGGGCGGAAGCCUGAUGCAGCAACGCCGCGUGCGGGAUGACGGCCUUCGGGUUGUAAACCGCUUUCGCCUGUGACGAAGCGUGAGUGACGGUAAUGGGUGAAGAAGCACCGGCUAACUACGUG